CAGCCCGGCGGCAGCCCGGUAAGCGGGCACAGCCGUCCUGCCGCCGCUCCCGCCCGGCCUUCAGCCGCCCGAGGGCCGGAACCGACCCGCCCGCCUCCCCGCCCGCUGCCGGGCGGCGAGAAGAGAGGAGAGGCUGGCGUCCCUUCUAGCGGCGGCCCCGAGGAGUUUACGCUGCAGCCCGGCGCCGCUGGUGGGGACGGCGGCAGUAGGAGGCGACUGGGGCCGGUCCCGGAGCGGGAGGAGCCGCCGCGAGCAGUGGUUCGCGGCCGGGGCGCCCUCGGCGCGGCUCCCCGGUAGGGCCGGUGCCGGCGGAGCCCGAGCGGCGGCGGCGGGAGCCGGGCGGUGAAGAUGGCGACCCCGGGGAUGGGCUGGCAGCAGCCGCAGCACAGCUACGGCGGCGGCUCCGCGCCCGGCCCGGGAAAACUCGGCUCCGGCUCGGCCCAGCCGGGGGUGGGCGCCGAACACAGCCCGGACUUGCAUUUCAAAAUGAGCAAGAAGAUUGCCCAGCUCACCAAGGUGAUAUAUGCUUUGAACACUAAAAAUGAUGAACAUGAAGCUGCUAUCCAAGCCCUUAAGGAUGCUCAUGAAGAAGAAAUUCAACAAAUUCUUGCAGAGACCAGAGAGAAGAUCUUGCAAUAUAAAAGUAAAGUUGCAGAAGAAAUGGAUCUCAAGAGAAAGAUACAGGUUUUAGAAGAGUCACUGGAAGAUCAUAAGAAGAUGAAACAUCAGGCGUUGACAGAAUUUGAAGCCUAUAAGGACAGAGUUGAAGAUAUGCAGCUUUGUGCAGAAGCUCAGCAUGUCCAACGUGUAGUGACCAUGUCAAGAGAAGUAGAAGAGAUCAGAAAGAAAUUUGAGGAAAGACUACGAAGUUUCAUACAAUUGCAAGUGCAGUAUGAGAAGGACAAGCGUACAGCUCUGGAAGACUUGAGAGCUGCCCACAGGCUUGAGAUUCAAGAACUCCUGAAGACUCAACAGAGUCAGAAUGCUACUUUAAGUAAGGGUCAAGAAAAGCUAGAGGAAUUGCAUAGACUAGAGCUGGAAGACUUAAACAAUAAAGUUGAAGAGUUAAGGCUGGAAAGAAAAAAACUCAUUGAGGAAUAUGAAGGCAAACUCAGUAAAGCACAGUCCUUCUAUGAACAUGAACUUGAUUCUUUGAAAAGAUCUCAGCUUUUUACAGCAGAAAGUCUGCAUGCUUGCAAAGAGAAAGAAGUGGAGCUAAGAAAAGAAUUUCAAAACCAGGAAAGUAUGUUGCGCAAGAACCUGGGAAAACUUAAAACCGAAUUGCAAAUGGUCCAGGAUGAAGCUGCCAGUCUACGGGAAAAAUGCCAAAAACUUCAGGUGGCUCUUGGUACAGCAGAAAACAAUGUUCAGGUUCUUCAAAAACAGCUUGAUGAUGUGAAGGAGGAGGAGAUGUCAUUGUUAAGCAAACACAAAGAAGUGGAAAGUGAGCUAGCAGCUGCUAGAGAGCGCUUACAGCAGCAGGCCACUGAUCUUGUUCUCAAAGCCAGUCACAUUGGAAUGCUUCAAGCUACUCAAAUGACUCAAGAAGUCACAAUCAGAGAUUUGGAAUCAGAAAAGUCUAGAUUAAAAGAAAAACUAUCCCAGUUAGAAGAGGAAAGAAACUUGCUACAAAGCAAAACACAGAGUCUGGAUGAGCGACAAAGGCAACAAAUUCUGGCGUUGGAGAAGAAAGUACAUGAAGCACGGGAGACACAACGUGAAUAUUAUGAGAAGGAGCUUGUAAAAUUACAAGCAAGAUUGGAAGGAGAGGCUGCACAGUUAAAGGAGGCUCAUUCCAAGACCUUAGAAGAACUGGCAUGGAAACACCAUACUGCAAUUGAGGCUGUACAUAGUAAUGCUAAUAAGGAUAAGAAAAAACUACAGAUGGAGUUGGAGCAGCAGUUCGAGAAGGAGAAACUGCAUUUGGAGGAUGAUAAGAAUCAGCUCAGACAGCAGCUGGAAAACCUGAAGGAAGAACUGACAACAAAACUGACUUCUGCCAAUCAGGAGGUGUGUCGUCUGCAAGACCUAGUACGAAAAAGUGAGCAAGGCCUUGGUACUGCAGAAGGACAUAUCUCCAGUCUUCAAGAAGCUCAGGAAAUACUCCAGAAAGAACUAGAAUUAACUAGAGCAAGACUACGAGAGACCACAGAUUCAUUGUAUAGUGUUGAGGGAGAACUAGAUCAGGAGAGACAACAGCACGAGGCAAUGAUUGCUGCCAUGAGAGAAGAGGAGAAGUUCAAAGUUGACAGAAUGGCUCGUGACUUGGAAAUAAAAUGGACAGAAAAUCUUCGACAGGAAUGUAAUAAGCUUCGUGAAGAGCUGAGGCUCCAGCAUGAAGAGGAUAAGAAGGCAGCCAUGACUCAGCUGUUGCAGCUGAAAGAACGUGAAAAAAAUGCAGCAAGGGAUGGAUGGCAAAAAAAAGUUGAAGAUCUUUUAGACCAGCGGCACUGUCUCGGUGAAGCUUUACAUAAAUCUAUCAGCAAUAUCUCCUUACUGAAGCAGAAUCUGGAGAUGCAGCUUUCCCAGUCUCAGAGCUCUUUGCAACAGCUACAAGCCCAGUUCAGUCAGGAGCGGCAGAGGCUGACGCAGGAGAUCCAGGAAUUAGAAGAGGAGCAUCAACAAAGGCAUAAGUCACUUCAGGAAGCCCAUAUCCUUGCCUUUCAAAACAUGGAAGAAACGAAAGAGCAAGAACAGAAGGAAUUAGAGGAACGUUUACAACAGAAGCACUCAGAAGAACUUCAUGCACUGAAAGAAACACAUAAACAAGCCAUGGAAGGUUUCAAAUUGGAGAUGGAACAGGAACUUCAGACUCUACGAUUUGAGCUGGAGGAUGAAGGAAAAGCUAUGUUAGCUUCCUUGCGCUCAGAGCUAAAUCACCAACAUGCAGCAGCAAUCGACCAGCUAAGGCACAACCAUCAACAAGAACUGGUGGCUGCCAAAAUGGAGCUGGAAAGAAGCAUUGAACUUGGCAGGCGACAGGAGAAAGAAUUUUUAUGCCGAAUAUCAGAUCUACAAGAUGAACUGAGACACCGAGACCAUCAUAUAGCUGAACUGGACAAAGAGAUUCUGCAUCUUCAUGAAAAUAUAAGUGCAUUGACCAAGGAAUUAGAGUUUAAAGGGAAAGAAGUUCUUAGAAUACGCAGUGAAUCCAACCAACAGAUAAGGAUGCAUGAGCAAGAUUUAAGCAAGAAACAUGAGAAAGAGCUGGAUGUCUUGACAGCAGAUCACAUCAGAGAGAAACAAAGCAUGCUGGCAGAUUUUAAUAAGACCCAAGAGCUGCUCAAGGAAAUUAAUUCAGCUUUACAAAUUUCUUUAGAAGAAAUGGAAGAAAAAUAUAAAAACAGAGAAUCAAGACCAGAAGACUUGCAGCUUAUCUCAGAACUGAAAGACCUAAUUGCAGAGCGGGACCAACUUAUAAAGAAAUUGAUUGAGGACAAAAAGUUCUAUCAGCUGGAGCUAGUUAACAGGGAGACUAACUACAACAAAAUGUUUAAUGCAAGCCCUAAUGUUGGUGUUAUUAAUCCAUUGGUGAAGGUUAUUUCACCUGCAUGGAAGGGGAGGCGGUUUGUCCCAGCUGUAGAGGCAGAAGAACUCAGGAAGGUUCUGAAGCAGAGGGUGACCCAAGUGGCACAACAGGAGCAGCUCAGAUGCCCAAGAGCUUCAGUGAUGAAGCAAAAGAAGAAGAACGAUAAAUCAACAAACAGGUUUGUGAGUGUCCCCAAUCUAAAUGCUCUGGAAUCUAGCGGAGUGGUGGGCAAUGGACAUCCCAACCGCCUGGACCCCAUUCCUAACUCACCCAUCCACGAUAUUGAGUUCAACAGCAGCAAACCACUGCCACAGCCAGUGCCACCUAAAGAGCCCAAGACGUUUUUGAGGUGAGCACGGCCUCACCCAGCUUUUUCUUUUUUUCUUUUUCUUUUUUUUUGCUUAAUUCAGGAAAAUUUUGCAUUCCUAUUGAGCUGAAUCCCACUUGCUUCAUGAACCUUUCAGAGCCCUCCUCAGACUGACGCUUCACCAGUGGCUUCACCAGACCCCCAACGCCAGGAGUGGCUUGCCCGGUACUUCACGUUCUGAGCGCUGAUAUGUUGUUGUGGCACAGCGUGACGUGGACUGUCUAUAAGAGCAUGACCUUAAGUAAACCCUCAUGUGAACAAGCUUUCCUGUAAUUUGUCAAACACUGUGACUGAGAAAGUAUUUGUCUUUCUGAUUUGAAACCGCACUGUAUUUCAUGUUAUAUUUGUUGGAAUCACUUGACAUGGUACUAUAUAACGUGUCUAAUUAUAACUAUUAUUUUUAUUUAAAAUGGAAGAAUCUUUAAACUUUGUAAUGACUACAUAAUAAAUUUUGGUAGAACAAACAUGAUGCUUUCCCCCUUUUUCCUAUAAAUGUAUUUUCUUUGCUUUCAGGUAAGGCUUUUACCCCCAGAAUAACAUAAUUGCAUGGUUACCAUAAAUACAAUUAAAUUGUAAAAGGAAAAAGCAUCUAUCUCUCACUCAGCAAUUUGAGCAGGAUAUGUUUAAUGUAUCCCAAUUUUAUUCUGUUACUUUGCAGCCAUUUAAAAACUGUCUCUUUCUAACAUUUUAAAGGAAGAAUGUGAAAUAAAUCACAGCUAACGUAGCUGCUGGCCUUCGGAGCAGACUGAUUUUGACAAGAGGAUGAAAAAAGCCACAAGCCAGGAGUGUUCAUUGUGGGGGGCUGACUCCUUACCUGUUGCUCAUGAGACUUUGCCAUCUAGUUAUAAUCAAACAUGUUACUGAAUUUAAGCAGAAACUGUUCCCACAAGUAAUGUAUUUCUUUUAUUAACAAAAACCUGCUCGAAACAUUUAGAAUACAGUACUAAGUAUCUCUGCAUAAAUCAAGAAUCUACAUUUUGAGUAUACGGUCCUGCUUUGGAUAAAAUUCAUGUCUGAAAAAAAACCCACAAAAAAACCCAACCACCACCAACAAAAAACUACAACCACCCAACUUUUUCCCAUUUAUACAUACUACAGAUACUGAUUUUCCAUUCAAACUUAAUUACCUUCCCUUGUCUAUAUUAAAGCUUUUUCUUCUUCUUAAACCGAUAUAUGAAAAUGUUUUUUCAGCUAGUGAGCAUGAUUGUCCAGUUGACACCUUUUAUGAUGCCAGUAUUGUUCAAGAAAUUGUUGCAGCAUAUAGAAAAAUAGAGCUUAUUGUCUUUUUUAUAUUUUUUCAUUCAAGAUUACCACAAAGUAAUUUACACUGGUAGUCUCAGGGAGAAAAUUGUCUCUUUGUUUUAUGAAUGUAUUUUUAAGCUGAAUCUCUUAUCUUUGAGUUAUUUGAAUAAGGUUUCAUUAGCAUAUACAAAGGUCUUGAACUUUACUAUUUCAUCUGAAGCCCUAACUACAUCUUUUUUCUCGAUAUGCACAAAGAUAAAUACCCUUAUUACGAUGAGUUUUAUAUGUAGUAUAUGUAUAAAUGAAAAAUUUGUAUGUUUUCAUAGAAACAAUAUGAAAUCUUCUAAAUGCACAUUUAAAAACUUCUUAGAAUUGAGCUGGAAAACUCCACUGACAGCUGUAUUCUGGUGAUGCUGCCAUGGAUUAAACAUGUAUACAGCAGAUUUUCUGUAGCUGGUGGACUCAACUGUAGGUAUAUGCAACUUUUUAAUUUUAGAAGAAAGCCAUACUGGGCGAAAUGUCAGAUUUCUUGGCUGUUACCCAAAAUAAAAUACAUUAGCUCAUUUUAUUAUAA